CUCCUUUUAUUCGUGCGCGUGUUACUGUAGCGACGAGGGGAAGGGAUAAGGUCGCGAGCGCCGCGUCCAGCAUCCUCUCUCAUCUCCCUUUCCCCUCGCUCGCUUCCUCCUCCCGAGCCCGCAGAUCCCUAGCCGCCUUCUCCCGCAGCACCUCAGCCGCCUCCUCUCGCUCUCCACCCAGCUGCUCGCCACCACUUCGCCGCCUCCUCCUCCCCUGCUCCUCUGACCUCGAAGCCCCAACGCAUGGUUGCCGCCGCCGCUCGUGUCUUUCUUCCGGCAGCCUCCUGCGGGACGAUGCCUCCCCAUCCUCCAUUAGUCGCCGCUGUGGGAUGUGGUUCUGGACCGGUCCCAGGUCGCUGCCGAGGAGCAGAGGAGGACGAUCGUGGGGGGAAGGAGCAGAGGAGGACGUCACUGGGAAGGUGCAGCGAGCCUCCCCAUCCUCCAUUAGCCGCCGCUGUGGGAUGUGGUUCUGGACCGGUCCCAGGUCGCUGCCGAGGAGCAGAGGAGGACGACAGCGAGGGGAAGGAGCAGAGGAGGACGUCACUGGGGAAGGUGCAGCGAGCCCGAAGGUCCAGACGGCGCCCUCGUCAUGUGCCGGAUGCUGCUCGCCAGCCCUCUUUGUCGUCCUCAAUCUAGCAAGAUGUGUGAAGAUCCGAGACAGAAAAGAGGAGGAAGAAUUUUGACGAAGAGUUCGGUGAUGGGGAACAUGUGAACUCUCUCUCAGCCACGUCUUUUCCUGCUACAGUUUGAUCUUGAUGUUAUGGUUGAUUCUACCCCUGAUGUGGCCUAAUUCUUUCUUUGUCACCCUUUUGAUAUGUGUUAUCAAAGUUAGUGAUUGGAGUUUCUCUGUUAUGUCAGUACACAUUGCUACUUUCAGGUUGUUUAAUUACUUUAUAUGAAACACAUUGACAUUAUAUGGAAAAGAGGCAUAUAUAUGAUUCUCUGUGUAUUUGCAAUGUCGUGACUGCAGAGGUAUCCUUCUCUCUGUAACAAGUCUAAUUAUUUGCGAAUUGGGUGUGCAUAUGCUUGCGUCUACCUACUCUAUUUGCGCUCAAAUACCAUAUAUGUAUGGACUGGUAGAGGUAAAAGAUAAAUUCAGAGAAAGAUAAAAAGGAAAUGACAUCUAUUCCUGAAUUUAUGUUUCUAUGGUGUCAUGGGUUCAGUUUGUGUUGCACAUUUAUGUGUCAACGACGACUAUCAAACAAGAAAAUUGUUCACCAGCUAUGGCCACCUCCGCGUUUAUCUUUUCAUGGUCAUGGAAAAUGAAAUGUUCAUGAAUCGCCGGUUGCUUUCAGGCCGACACGGGCUGCCGGUCCACCCAGCGCGCGGGUAGCUGUGCAGAUCUCUAAUCGGCACCCUCCCUAUGGCACCGCUCCACAAUGCCGACCAGCAUUGAAUAUGCCAUGGAUCCGCCAAGCAGACGCCUCAGGACGGUCAUCCAGAAUGCUAUCCUGCCUCCAUUCAAGCCCAGGCGCUCUUCACUUGCUUCAUAAUUUCUGAAUAAAUGCAUCUAUGUUCAGUCUGAUUUUAAAUUGCACUGAAACUAGAAAGCAGUGGAUGCCUUGGUGUUAUGUUCCAACAAAAAAUAGGAAGGAAGCAGCAAGUGGAAUAGGUAAAUAGUCACAGUGCACUAUAGAUUGUCCAUAACUUUUUCUAGGUCAGCUGUAGUACUGGUAUGGAUAAAAGUAAAUAUGUCACUGGUGUUACAUCUUCCUAAUCCAUCAUAUGUGUAAAGCUAAGAUCAGAUAUUUGAAUUGUCAGACUCUUUUGCUCAUUGUCAGACCAUGACUAAGGCUUCCUAUUAAAAUUGUGUGGAAUGCUACUAAAAAGUGGAAAAAAUUAUUAUUCUAUGGUAUUCUUUAUUCUCCUAGCCCCUACAAGGCUUCCGGUUAAAGUUCAUCGAUGUGCUCCUGAAAGUGAAUUAGUGGCACCCAAGUAUGCGCUCGUGCUUUCCUUCUGUUAUGGCUUACCUAUUUGCCUUGGAGUGUGCUUUUUUUCGGGGCUCAUAUUCUUGGCAUAUGCAUGUAUGUACAAUGAAUCUUUUUUUAUCUGAUCACUUGUCUCUUUAUCUAGAACUUGAAGGAUAAAAAAUAUGAGGAAAAUGAAAGCAGUUACCACGGCCAUCUGAAAAGCUAAAAAAUUGGAGAAGGUCCUGAAAGUAAAAAGCAAGAGGUCAAGGAUUCAGUCUGCCAAGUCUUUGUAUGAUUAAAAUUUUAGUGGCUAGCAUAAUUUUUUGUACCAGUAUGUUUCCGACUUUCCGCCUGCAGAUCAACCACAUCUAUGUGUUUGAAAAGAACCUGCUUUCCUCAAAAGAUUGCUACUACCUGCUUCUUUACAACACUUCACGGAUGACUUGUGAUGACACCUGGUAUUAAUUAGUACAGUAGGAACGAUGGGUUUUUCAUCACAUUCUUUGAUGUCAAUCAUUGCAAAGUUGUAACGUACUAAAUCCUAAUAUGCCAAUGCAGCAAAAGAAGUCUUAUUUUUCAGAUUGCACCAAGAAAAAACUGCUUCCAUGGCUUCCUCGGCCUCCCUGUCGUGCUCGAGAUGGAGAUGCCUCCCUGCUUCACCACUGCUAGGUACCUCUUCUUCCUCAGCUUCGUCCUCCUCCUAGCAGUGGAUGCUGCAGGCCCAUCUCCCCAAGCACCCCACCCUCGCCAUGGAUUGAGUGGGAGGUCAGUUUGCUCUGAAUCCCUGAGAGUUUUGGUCCUGCAUCUCUUGCUCAAUCAGCGGGCUGAUCUUUGCCGCGCCGGGGUGACAUCACCAGAACUGCUGCAUCUUCAUCUGGUUUGCUUUAGAUAACGAGAGCAAGGCAAGCAGCUUGCCAAAAACAAAGGUGGAUGCAGAAGGAACAUCACUUGUUGGCUCCCUUGACAGAAAUGCGGAGUUUUACAUGAUUUACGAGGACAUGUCUUCUUGGAUGGAUGUGGAUUAUUUGGUUCCUUUGUGGGAACUGAUAACAUUUUGUUUACAUAUUUACUGCUCGACCGUAUGCCCAUAAGGAUUGUUUGAUCUCUUUUUCUACGCAGACUGCAGGUGUAGGUCCCCUGCUCACUAAGGACAAGGUCAGAUUGCUUUAGGUAUUUUAAGAUGAUUAAUCCUUGAGCACCAUAGUUGAUUGAAAUCAAAUAUGCGGAUCACUUUUCCUUACAAUUAAAAUGAAAUAUGUUGCAAAAUAAAGUGGUGUAUAUUGUGAGACUAUGUACUGUAUGAGUUAUUUGAGUAAUGAUGUGAAAGCAAUGUAUAAACUUGGUGAAUUCACUUCAGUUUACUGAUACUGGUUUAUCAAUAUGUGGCCAUCAAGUGUGAUGUGCAAGUUAUAUAUAUAUUAGGCAUCUAAUGUACUAUGUAUUUACAAACUUUUCUGUGUGUUCCACAGUACCAAGUCGAGCAUCCAAUAACAGAUUUGGUUCUAAUCAAGGAUCACACAUUUCAUGCUUGCACUAUAGUUUAUUUCUCCAUUCAUGCAUUAUCAGUCUUAGUACUUGCUCUUGUGCCUGCCCGGCUUGCUCUAUUACUGACUUUGCCUUCUCUUCCUAAAUAGCAGACCUGGUUUUCUUUAUGUCCUUGAAGCAAAUACCACAAUGUUAGCUUGAAAGUAUUUAGGAUACAUACAGAGCCAGAAGGUAAAUAAGGGAUUUGACAAAAAGAGUACACACUGAUUUUAGGUGCUGCACUUCAGAAGCAAUCCCCUCCUUUACCCCCACAGGCUCCUACAGGCAAAUCAACCUGCAGUCAGCAUAUUUUUAUAUUUGUUGCUUGGAACAACAAGCUGAAUCAACUGAAUUACUCACGUUAUGGCAGGUCUUGGUGUACAAGACUGCAACCACUAAUAAAAAAUAAAAUAUCAUGUUAGACAGUUAUUUAUCUAUAGUAGAUACACUACAGUGCAAUUGAUGCAUCGGUCUCAUGAAACGAUGUUGUGCUGGGUCUCAUAGGAUCACUUGCGUUUUGAUCGAAUUUCUAUGAAGCCUACAAACUAGGAUCACUUUUUUUUCGAGAAAACACAAAGGACCUUUGCAUUUCAUUUCAUGGAAAAGGUAGAACAGACCUCCUAGGAGGUGAGCGGUACAGUGUCAUGCAUCCUAUCAAUGGACAUCCCAGGUUGUGGGCAGGACAACCCGAAACCCCUGGGCUCCAGCGUUUUCCCAACGUUCGGGUCUCAUCUUUGAUCCUAUCCACUAACGGUUCGAUGGACGGCGUGGCGUAGUCGAAGACACAUGCGUGCAGAUCACUCUUAUUUUCUCACACGAAGCAUUUCAAGCCGAUGAGCUGUAGUUGUAGUUCUUUUCAAACUGCCAUGAUUUUAACCAAAAGUUUAGUACAGGUGCAGAUUCUAAUUUGUGUGAUAAGUUUAUGACAUUUUUGUCUUGCAUGUUUAUUUAUAGCUAAUAUCUCUUAUUGCAAUUCGUAGGAUCAGAAUCGGGACAUGAAUCUGAACUAUGAUAUUUGGAUUUACGAUCUCAUUCAUGGAAAUUGUGCAAGAUAAUGAGCAACAGACAUUAUUUCAUCCCAGUGAAGCUCCAGGUUUGGCUAUUUGCUGGGGAUACGAGUUCUAGACUGUGUAUAAGAAAUAUAAAAUAGAAUUAAGCUGGAAAAGAUAUACAUAUUAUAAUAUCUGCAUUGCCUUUUAUUAAACAAAAUAUAUAACAUUGUGAUGGGGUAAUGACAAUACUGAAACAUCGUCAGCUACCACUAUCUAUUUUGUGGGAUCAUUAGAAGGUGAAACUUAUGUACGGUUCUAUCAUCCUGGUCAUUAAUUUGUUGGCGUGUAGCUGAUGCAAUAUUAGUGUGUGUGCUUGUGUGUCGCUAUUUUGCUGAAACAAGUACUAUUAUUGCAUAGGUUAUCAUUUAUCACUAUUAGAGUUGCAGUUUACCUUUUCCAUAUAGAUACUGUUCUUACCUCAAGUUGGUAAACAAUAUGUGUUCUUACCUCAAAUUGACAUAUAGUGCAUUCCAGGCAUCAAAUUUUAUCACUAUUAAAUUAGAUAUAUCAAAUUGAGUUCAGUAGUCUAUCAUUGGAACCUUGAUGAUUUAUCUCAUUUGAACAUAAUCUAACCCCUCUGAUUUUUGUCAGUACAUGAUUGUACACCUCCUAUGCCCGCUUAAUUGUGUGUUCAUUUUGUUAAUCAAGAAGCAUUUGAUUUUAUGGCUGGGUACGUUGAAAAUAUAUAAAACCUUUCUUCUUUUGGAUAAUUUGUUUCCCUUUGACCAAUCUUUGUUACUUGCCUACACAUCUGCUGCUCCAGCGCGACUGCUUGUGUGCUGCCUCGAGUCGCGCGGCCACUACGCCCGCGCCGAGGCGGAGGCCGCUGCCACUCUCGACGCCCUCCGCUGCGCGCUCUCGCCGGCGGCGUUCGCAAAGCCUUGUCGCGGCGCUGCAAGUGUUGCCCCCCUCCUCCCCAAGGGCAAGGUGAAGGAAGGUGCCUGUGUGGUUCUUCUGCAGCUCGCAGCGAGGAUUGCUGUGUCCAACCUGCACAAGAAUGCCAAGAAGUCCUCAGAGACGAUUAAGGACACGUACCUGUACUACAACGAGAGAUAUCUGGGCUGCUUCUUUGUGGCUUCCAAACAUGAAAUGUUUGUUUGGAAGUUAGUUUAGUUUUUUGUUGUGGAUUCACAGCUUCUCACAUGUACCAUCGUUUUAGACCUUUAGGUUUCGAAAGAAACUAAAUGAAGAUACGGUGGUAUGGUCUCAAUAGUACAACUUAAAGCCUUCAAAGCUUUAUAUUUUCUCUGAAAUUUGCUCUUGAAGAAUUAUGUAUCUAUGUUAGAUCUGGUGAGUAAAGACGGCUUCCAAGCAGAGGAUGCGGGAGUGUUGGCCA